rnacentral:misc_RNA from 1 species
CCACAAUGGGGGAUCGAAGUUUAACAUAUGAAUAUAUAGAGUAAAUCUUUAAAAAUCUUCUUCUCAGAAACUAAUCAGCCGGCAAAGCUGAAACUUGUGUGGAAGCAUCCUCAGGUAGUGUAGAUUCAAAGUUGUGAAAAUAAUAACCCCUGGGGGUAGGUUGGGGCCACAAUGGGGGAUCAAAGUUUAACAUAUGAUUAUAUAGAGUAAAUCUUUAAAAAUCUUCUUCUCAGAAACUAAUCAGCCAGGAAAGCUGAAACUUGUGUGAAAGCAUCCUCAGGUUGUGUAGAUUCAAGGUUGUGGAAAUCAUGAUCCUCAGGGGUAGGGUGGGGCCACAAUGGGGGUCAAAGUUUAACAAAGGAAUAUAUAGGGUAAAUCUUUAAAAAUCUUCUCAGAAACUAAUCAGCCAGAUGAUUCUUUAUAAUUAUUAAGACUUUGGCCCCAGGACAAUUCUUUGGCCUCACGAGAAGGUUCAGAGUUUGAUGUACGUUUAUAUCCGAUAUAUAAACUAUUGUUAAGGAUCUUUUUGAGAACUGCAAUACUCAACAUAUGAUAUGACUAUAAAAUCAUCCUGUCAGAAAGGGGACUAAUGAUUAUAAACAUAAGAAUAUCCAGGGGUAAAUGGAUUUUAUUUAUACAGGAUCUACAUGUAUUAUUGUACAUUGUCCAGAUAGUUUGUAUUAUGACUCCAUUAAGCUGAUUUUAUCAUACCUAUUGUUCCUCAGGUGAGCGAUGUGGCCCAUGGGCCUCUUGUUUACGUUAGCAUUGACACAAACCCAUGUUGGGUUAAUGGCAACCUGCUGUAUAUAACGUUUUUUAAUGAAAAAACCAUUCCAACACUUAAAGACUAGUGACAAGUCUGAAAUUGGCAAUUCAUUAUGGUUAGGAAUCGGAAACAGGAUGAAAUUGUCAUUAUAGCUGUAUCUGUAGUGUAUGAAUCAACUGUGAAACGCAUCCCCAAAUAGUAUACUUUUAUUCAUUGACAUUUACUUCAUGAGUUCAGUGAAACUGUUCAUAUUGAGAUCUCAAACAGCAGGCGGCUAGUGGGUCAGCUUUCUUAGAAGUUGCUUCUUUUAAUGUUUAAUGUUGUGUGCUGUCUACGUUUACUUCAAGGCAUUCAAUAAUUCAGUUGUGAAGAUCUUUAUUUGGAACAGAUGAAAUUAUCAUCAUGAAAUGAUUUAUCUGUAUAUAACUUUAAGAUGUUUCAUUUUAGAGCUUCUGUCAAUUUUUUUUAAUGCAUUGUAUUUUAACAAAGUUGUGAACUAAUUUUAAUUUUAUUUUGUAUGUUUUUUUAAUUUAGGCUCACCCUAAUUUUUUUUUCAGUUCGAAAGCUGCAUUUUUUCAAAAAAAUAAUUUGUAUGCUUAUUUUUGUAAACAGCCGUUCAGCCAUUGAUAGAAUAGCACUGGGUAGAAUAGGUCUAAUUAUUGGGUUAAGAGAUGAUGGUCAAUUUUUGUACAUUCAAAUUCCUGUUUAGUUAAUCAGGGACACUGCACUAGAGAAAGUGAGAAAUAAAAUGAUGGGAAAAUAG